AUACGGAGGAUCCGAGCGUUAUCCGGAUUUAUUGGGUUUAAAGGGUGCGCAGGCGGCCAUUUAAGUCAGCGGUUAAAUCGUGGGGCUCAACCCCAUUCUGCCGUUGAUACUGGGUGGCUUGAUUGCGGUCGAGGUUGGCGGAAUUCGUUGUGUAGCGGUGAAAUGCAUAGAUAUGACGAAGAACACCGAUUGCGUAGGCAGCUUACUAGGCGAUUAUUGACACUGAGGCACGAAAGGGUGGGGAUCAAACAGGAUUAGAUACCCUGGUAGUCCACGCCCUAAACGAUGGAUACUCGACAUACGCGAUACACUGUGUGUGUCUGAGCGAAAGCAUUAAGUAUCCCACCUGGGAAGUACGACCGCAAGGUUGAAACUCAAAGGAAUUGACGG
rnacentral:rRNA from 1 species